rnacentral:misc_RNA from 1 species
AAUGUUUUUAAAGUUUAAAAAGUAUAGUUUGUAGCUGUAGUUUAAUUUUCGUCUUAUGAACAGAUACUUUGAAAGUUCAUGUUUGAUAGUGAUGAAUCGUGGAAUUAAUAUGGAGCUUUGUAGUUCUUGAAUUUUGAAUUCAUCUCCCAGCCAGUCAUUUACGAUAAGCACAACGGUCACCCUCAUAACGCCUUAUGUAAUACUAUAAGCCCAUAUUUAACACUAAAUAUCAGAAUUUUGUAUACUUCUUCAUCAGCUAUCUACUUGAUUCAAAAAGUUGACAGUCUGACUGGUCCAGUGGUGUAGAAGAAUCCAGGACCCCAAGCUCAAGACCUGUUUCGCGGCUAAGAUUGUAAAACACGCCCGCGUUUCAACUGCUUGAUGUCGAGAUGUGGUAAAUAUAUUGAAGAUUAGCGAGUUCCUAACUUUAUGUCGUAAAGCUGGCCUAACCUUGAAAUUAUAGUCUUUUUAAAUUAGAAAAGUGAAUCCAUUAUGAAGACAUGAAUCCAAGUUAGACUAAAGGAAAAUUUUAUUUUGAAUGACCAAUAUAAAAUAUUUUAAUAUGAAAUUACUAAUAAUCUCCACUAUAGCUGAGACGGCGUGAAGUUCAGAGUAAAAACCUGUCACAAGAAAUUAUCAAAAACACGCUUUAAACUUUGAAAUACAUGUCAUGGAGCUACUUAGCUUGAUGUCUGCAAUUGAGUAGCGCCAAAUAUUUCAAUAUAGUUGCACCACGUGGUAAUAAAAUAAGUGUAAUUGUUGGUUUGCUAUGCACCAAUGGGAGUGGGGAAGCGGGUAAUAUCCCAUGAUACUUUGCAAAUAAUUAUAAACAAUAAUCGUUUCGGCGCGAAUAACGUGUUUUAUUGAAGUGAUUUGAGAGGUGGGUGUCUUCUGUUCGUUGUCAAAGUACCACAAUGUUAGACGUGAUACGCAGCUUGAAAAGUCUGUUGAAAACCAGUAGAAUACAGAUAGACAACGACGUAUUUAGGCUACAUUAUGCAGUAACCGUUACGGUACUGUUAGCGUUCACUAUAGUUGUAUCGAUGAAACAGUUCGUGGGGGAUCCAAUCGACUGUAUCAAAAGCGAAGAAGUACCCCAGAGUAUAAUCAACACAUAUUGCUGGAUCCACGCAACUUUUUCACUACCUAGUGCCUACGACAAAAUUGUGGGUAAGGAAAUUCCUUAUCCAGGAGUCGACGCAGGUUAUUUGCCCAGCGACUUAAGCUCCCAAGAACUCAAAUAUCACAAAUAUUACCAAUGGGUGUGUUUUAUGUUGUUUUUUCAAGCGGCAUUGUUUUAUUUUCCUAAGUGGCUUUGGAAGUUAUGGGAAGGUGGGAAAAUCCAAGCCUUGAUGAUGGACCUGGACAUUGGACUGUUUGCAGAAACGGAGAAGAAACAGAAGAAGAAGCUCUUGGUUGAUUAUUUAACAUGUAGUUCAGGGCAGCAUGAUUGGUAUGCCUUAAAAUAUUUUUUUUGUGAGGCCUUAACGUUUGUCAAUGUUGUUGGUCAGAUGUUUCUAAUGAACCUUUUCUUUGAUGGAGAAUUUUUAACGUAUGGUUUGGAUGUUAUACAAUUUUCCGAAAUGGAACAAAGCGAGAGGUUAGAUCCCAUGAUUCGAGUUUUCCCGCGGGUUGCAAAAUGCAGGUUUUUCAAGUUUGGUGCAUCUGGAAAUCUAGAAUCACACGAUGCUUUAUGUUUGUUGCCUUUAAACAUAGUUAAUGAAAAAAUUUACAUAUUUCUAUGGUUUUGGUUCAUAGUUUUGGCGAUUCUUACUGGAUUAGUUCUUAUUUAUCGGGUUGUUAUUAUUGCCUGUCAGCCCGUGAGGGUGUAUUUGUUAAACUUUCGUUUUCGAAUCGUCUGCCCGGAAGAUUUAAAAACUGUCGUUAAAAAUGGUUCUAUUGGAAAUUGGUUCAUUAUAUUCAUGUUGGGACUGAACAUAGAUCCAGUGAUUUUUAAAGAAGUGAUUGAAGAAUUGGCCAAAAGAGUGAAAACGGAUCGAAAGGACGUUGCUUAACGAUUUAGGCUAAGGUUAUUAUAUAAUUUAUUAAUUAUAAUAAAUUAUGUUCAAGAAGCCUUGCACGUGUGUUUUCCUAAUUUUCAGUGCAUAGUCUAUUUUCUUCUG